ACGGGUGAGUAACACGUAUGCAAUCCACCUGUAACAGGGGGAGUAACCCGGAGAAAUCCGGACUAAUACCCCAUAAUAUGGGCGCUCCGCAUGGAGAGUCCAUUAAAGAGAGCAAUCUUGGUUACAGACGAGCAUGCGCUCCAUUAGCCAGUUGGCGGGGUAACGGUCCACCAAGGCGACGAUGGAUAGGGGUUCUGAGAGGAAGGUCCCCCACAUUGGAACUGAGACACGGUCCAA
rnacentral:rRNA from 1 species